CAUAGUGGCGCACGGGUGCGUAACGCGUGGGAAUCUGCCCUCAGGUUCGGAAUAACAGUUGGAAACGACUGCUAAUACCGGAUGAUGACGUUAAGUCCAAAGAUUUAUCGCCUGAGGAUGAGCCCGCGUAGGAUUAGCUAGUUGGUGUGGUAAGAGCGCACCAAGGCGACGAUCCUUAGCUGGUCUGAGAGGAUGAUCAGCCACACUGGGACUGAGACACGGCCCAGACUCCUACGGGAGGCAGCAGUGGGGAAUAUUGGACAAUGGGCGAAAGCCUGAUCCAGCAAUGCCGCGUGAGUGAUGAAGGCCUUAGGGUUGUAAAGCUCUUUUACCCGGGAUGAUAAUGACAGUACCGGGAGAAUAAGCUCCGGCUAACUCCGUGCCAGCAGCCGCGGUAAUACGGAGGGAGCUAGCGUUGUUCGGAAUUACUGGGCGUAAAGCGCACGUAGGCGGCUUUGUAAGUUAGAGGUGAAAGCCUGGAGCUCAACUCCAGAAUUGCCUUUAAGACUGCAUCGCUUGAAUCCAGGAGAGGUGAGUGGAAUUCCGAGUGUAGAGGUGAAAUUCGUAGAUAUUCGGAAGAACACCAGUGGCGAAGGCGGCUCACUGGACUGGUAUUGACGCUGA
rnacentral:rRNA from 1 species